UAGGGAAUCUUCGGUAAUGGACGAAAGUCUGACCGAGCAACGCCGCGUGAGUGAAGAAGGUUUUCGGAUCGUAAAACUCUGUUGUUAGAGAAGAACAAGGACGUUAGUAACUGAACGUCCCCUGACGGUAUCUAACCAGAAAGCCACGGCUAACUACGUGCCAGCAGCCGCGGUAAUACGUAGGUGGCAAGCGUUGUCCGGAUUUAUUGGGCGUAAAGCGAGCGCAGGCGGUUUCUUAAGUCUGAUGUGAAAGCCCCCGGCUCAACCGGGGAGGGUCAUUGGAAACUGGGAGACUUGAGUGCAGAAGAGGAGAGUGGAAUUCCAUGUGUAGCGGUGAAAUGCGUAGAUAUAUGGAGGAACACCAGUGGCGAAGGCGGCUCUCUGGUCUGUAACUGACGCUGAGGCUCGAAAGCGUGGGGAGCAAACAGG
rnacentral:rRNA from 1 species